rnacentral:misc_RNA from 1 species
AACCUGUAAUACAAAAUGUGGGUGAAAAUGAAGCUGUAUCAAAAUAUGGCGGACAGUGAAUGUUUCAUUGUUGGAAGCCGGAUUUCUUGCACCACCGUUUAUAAUGAGAAACUGGAAGGAGAGGUCGCUGCUUUCGACAUAGGUACCAAAUUGCUAAUAAUUAAAUCUAAUGCCACAAGUGGUAAUUCCAAUCUCCAUGAUAUGAAACUUAUCAAUCUUGAUUAUGUGAAAGAUGUCAUUGUGUUAGCAGAUGCUAAAGAACAGCCUCCACAGCUGAUGCCUCUCAACCUAGCAAAGCUGACCAGCCGAAUAAGACAGAAUGUGGACAGCAAGAAAGAGAGGGUCAAUCACGUUGGUGUUGGUGUUUCAGCCGAAGGACAGGCAGUUUUUGAUGCAAUUAUCAAAACCAUUGCAGAAACUAAAUGGAAAGGAAAGAAUAUAAUUGUAAUGGAAACAGUAGAAAUAACACCUCCAUAUGGGAUGGAGAACUGCCAUGGACCCGAUGGGAAUCAAAUCCUCAAUCAUGUAAAAAAGAUAGUUCACAAACACAUGAGUAAGAUAGAUUCACAGUUACCAAACAAUCUCAGGAAAUCUUUAUCCCCAUCGCCAUCGCCGGCUACAUCUUCUUAAAGAUUCUCUCACUUAGCACUCUUUUUCUCUCUCUCUCUCUGCUCUAUUCUCAACUCCCUUCUAUCUUUCCUUCAUCUUAUUUUCUACUUAUUUUUUAUUUAUUUUUUUUUUCUUCUCUCUUCUCACCAGCACCUUUUCCCUGCCAACUUUCUUUUGGUCCUUCUGCCGUUCUUUCUCACCCCCAAACCCCAAUUUGCUAUAGAGAGUAAAGACAGCCAAAACUUACAUAGAUUUACUGGGAUCAUGGUUGGAAUCCCCUCCUCAUCACCUCUGCUUCCCAGUUAUUUUUACACAGCAGACCCCUGCCUUUUGUUUUGUUUUUACAUAUAUUUUUUUAAUUAUAUUUUUAUAUUUAUUUAUUUAGCUUAAGUGUGUGGUAGGGGUUUGUUUGUGCGUCAUUGAACAAGUUGGUGGGGGGAGGUUUGUUUGUUUGGUUGGUUGGUUGGUCAGUUGGCUACUGUUGAGUGACCCCCAUCUUCCCAACCAGAUUUCAGAUCCAAGCUAAAGCUAAUUAAUUAUCCUCGGGGAGGUGGGAAUAUAAUGAAUGUCACAAUCCCUCUUUCCCCUUCACCAACCUCCUCUCUCUUUUAAAAAAAUGUAGGGUCUUUACACUUUGCUACAAACAAAACAAACAAACAAAAAAUGUUUUCAUGUCUGUGUAGUUACACAUGAAUGUAGCCGUGUGAUGUAUAGAUGUUUGGGCAUUGUGUGUGUGUGUGUGUGUGUGUGUGUGUGUGUGCAUGUAUGUAUGUGUGUGUCUUUGUUUUGCUGUAUCAACAUUUGUCCCUGAGAGCCCCGUAUUCCUCUAGCCCUCUCCCUGGUGUAUUAAUGGAGGAGGGACAGAGGUUCUGUUUUUUUUUUUUGUUCCUUUCUUAACGUGAGAAAUUGUUUCCUUGAAUUUUUUUGCUCUAUUUAUUAUUAUUAUUAUUGUUAUCUUGUUAUUUUUGUCACUAUGUUAUGUUUUUUUAAUACAAUUCACACACACAAAUGAAACCCUUGAACAAUGAAAUCUCACACACUGCCCCAACUCCUCCAACCUAUUGCUCAACUGAAGGGUUUUUUCUUUGUCUUUUUUCCUUUUCCCCCUCUCUCUCUCUCUCCUCUCUCUCUCCAGUGUCAUUUCUUGUAGCAAGUCCCUUGUCAUUACAGCAGUUUUGUUUUCCAGGUUGCAUGUAAUCAACAGCACAAAUUGUGCAAUGAGUGACAACUGCUGCACUGUACUAAAAGAAAAAAAAAAAGAAAAUUUACUCUCCACCCUCUCUCUUUCCCUCUCUUUCACUCUUCUGUCACACUCUCCUCCACCUCACCUCUUCUUUCACAGCAACAUUGCAGAUGGAGAACAAAUCUAUAUGCAAUCUAAAAAGAGAAAAAUGCUAGUCUUGUUGUUGUUGUCAUUGUUGGCACUACAAAUUCUGCAAUUGCUUUGGUUGUUGUUGCCACAGAAAGGGCCACCAUCACCACCACUACUACUAUAAUUGUGAUUGUUAAAAGUUAGAAGGGAUAUUGCUGUGGACAUCUGACUGCAGAGCUGCAGCCAACAUUGUAGGUGUUCAAAGGUCAGAUUUUUACCUGGUCUGACCCGACAGCCCUUUAUGUAUUUUUGCUGGACCCUUUCCCCCAUCCCAUAAAAAAAGUCUGGUGGUGAAUCUUUUGAUCAUUUGACUGAAUUUUCUUUUCUUCUUUCAUCCUACAACACUAAUUCUUAAAAAAAUUUAUUAGGCAAAGUGGAAUAAACUCUCUCCCUCUCUCUCUCUCCUCUCCCUCUCUCUCUCUCUCCUCUCCCUCUCUCUCUCUCCCUUUUCCUUUCUUUCCCUGUCUCCUUAUUUAAUUUCCAUUCUAGUUCCAAAUGGCAACAAUUGAGAACAACCU